UCAAUUCAAAAAUCGAUGAGAAUAUUUUUCAUAGAUCCAUCAUCAUUCAAAUAGGUUAGGAAAAUAUUUUUGUAUUUUUUUGAAUAUCAAAAACUAAUUAAAAUGAAUUAAAAAUGACCAGAAAAGAGAAAAUUCACAAAAAAUAUCAAAUGACAAAAUAAAAAAUAUUAAAAAUCAGAAAUAGAAACUAGAAUUUAUUUG
rnacentral:lncRNA from 1 species